UUCCUACUUUCCAUCAACUGCAUUUCACAAAGCCGCUGGAGGAUUUGGAGGACUCAAUUCUAUCACAGAUCUGUCAUCCUAAUCCUUUAUCCAAACCCUGCUGGUGAUUUCACUUUGCUCAUUGGUGAUUGGUUCAAGACCAACCACAAGACAUUAAGGCAGACUUUGGAUUAAAGCAAGAAUUGACAAAAUUAGCAACAACGAAUAUAAAAUCACAGAAAUUAAAGUAAAUCACAUUAAUUACAGAAAUCACUACAGUGCUAUAAUAAUUAAAAGAAAUCACAGAGGGGGAGUUACCGGAAGGGAGAAGCUGACGACGGUGACAAAGAACGAGAAAGACGGCGAUGCUCUCUGGAACGAGGAAGACGGCGACGCUCUCUGACGCGACGACGUUCUCCUCGGCUGGGUGAGGCACGUGAGGAAUGCUGCGGUGACCUUAGCAGGGCGCCGUGGAGGAAAAGAAGGAAGAGGAUGGAGAAGGGAGCUGUCGAAGAAAA